GAUGAAGAACGUAGCGAAAUGCGAUAAGUAGUGUGAAUUGCAGAAUUCAGUGAAUCAUCGAAUCUUUGAACGCACAUUGCGCCUUCUAGUAUUCUGGGAGGCAUGCCUGUUUGAGCGUCAUUAAACCUCUCUCAAGUAUGAUUACUUGGAUGUGAAGGAAGAGUACCUUAAACUUAAGGAGUGUUCUCCUUUGAAAUUGAUUAGCAGAUGGUAAUGUUAUUAAAUCCCUGAUGUUGUAAGAAAUAACAGUGGUUUUGUAGACUAUUAUCUAGCUUUAAAUUAUAAUUUUUAUUAUGGUUGACCUCAAAUCAGGUAAGGAUACCCGCUGAACUUAAGCAUAUCAAUAAGCGGAGGA
rnacentral:misc_RNA from 1 species